rnacentral:rRNA from 1 species
GCCAGACUCCUACGGGAGGCAGCAGUGGGGAAUAUUGCACAAUGGGGGAAACCCUGAUGCAGCGACGCCGCGUGAGCGAAGAAGUAUUUCGGUAUGUAAAGCUCUAUCAGCAGGGAAGAAAAAAAUGACGGUACCUGAGUAAGAAGCACCGGCUAAAUACGUGCCAGCAGCCGCGGGAAUACGUAUGGUGCAAGCGUUAUCCGGAUUUACUGGGUGUAAAGGGAGCGUAGGCGGCGCGUUAAGUCUGAUGUGAAAACCCGAGGCUCAACCACGGGAGUGCAUUGGAAACUGGCGGGCUGGAGUGCCGGAGAGGUAAGCGGAAUUCCUAGUGUAGCGGUGAAAUGCGUAGAUAUUAGGAGGAACACCAGUGGCGAAGGCGGCUUACUGGACGGCAACUGACGUUGAGGCUCGAAAGCGUGGGGAGCACACAGGAUUAGAUACCCGCGUAA